rnacentral:lncRNA from 1 species
CUGCGUAGGAGAUUUUAAUACAAUAGUACUACCAAGCCUGAUGUUGGCCGCUAUUUCAAUGAAUGCAGCAGUGUGACAGCUAGCAAUCAAAAGUAACAAGAUAUCGAGGAAAUGCAGAUGGCAAUAAACUGUGUAGGAGUUCAUGAUGGCAAUAGAAUAAAAUCGACCAAGCCUGAAGUCAGCAGCCCCUUCAAUGAAUGCAGCAGUGUGACAGCCAGCAAUCAAAAGUUACAACAUAUCGAGGAAAUGCAGAUGGCAAUAAACUGUGUAGGAGUUCAUGAUUGCAAUAGAAUAAAAUCGACCAAGCCUGAAGUCAGCAGCCCCUUCAAUGAAUGCAGCAGUGUGACAGCCAACAAUCAAAAGUUACAAGAAGAUAUCGAGGAAAUGCAGAAGGCAAAAAACUGCAUAGGAGAUCAUUAAUACAAUAGUAUUAUAUAAACCAAGCCUGAUGUUGGCCGCUCAUUCAAAGAAUGCAGCAGUGUGACAGCCAGCAAUCAAAAGUAACAAGAUGUCGAGAAAAUGCAGAGUGUAAUAAACUGUGUAGGAGAUUAUGAUUGCAAUAGAAUAAAAUCGACCAAGCCUGAAGUCCUUCAAUGCACGCAGCAGUGUGACAGCCAGCAAUCAAAAGUUACAAGAUAUCGAGGAAAUGCAGAAGGCAAAGAACUGCGUAGGAGAUUAUUAAUACAAUAGUAUUAUAUCAACCAAGCCUGAUGUCGGUAGCUUCUUCAAUGAAUGCAGCAGUGUGACAGCCAGCAAUCAAUAGUGACAAGAAUUUAGGAAAUACAGAAGGCAAAGAAGCAGAUGUCAUCAAAGAAGAUCUUUGUUCCUGCAAUGUUUCCGCAGACGAUACAUCCAACAGAGCGAAGUGGAAGGAAAAGACUCGGAAAAAAGACCCCACCACCAUAUGGGAACAAUGCAAGGGAGAGAGAGAGAAUAUAAUGUUAUAUUUUUAUUUUUUGAUAACAUAAAAUAAACCAA